rnacentral:lncRNA from 1 species
AGGCAUAGUCGUGCUUCAUGUCCACAUCACGUACUCUGCGGAAAUGGUUGCCAGAAACAGUAAGGCCAUCAUUACUUACUUAAGCACAGGAAGUGCAUGAACACUUGCCCCUCAAGACGAACUAAACACCAGUUUGAGAUUGUUGGAAUUCCAUAAAAAUACGCAAAGACAUUAUAGAAAGAACCACCAAAGUCUCCUAAAACCGGGCAAGACUCCACCAAGG